UAUAUUUUAGUAUACGGCGUACGUAGGUUUUUGAUACUUUAAGAAAUAGUUUGACUCUAUUAAAUAUAA
rnacentral:tRNA from 1 species